GAUGAAGAACGCAGCGAAAUGCGAUAAGUAAUGUGAAUUGCAGAAUUCAGUGAAUCAUCGAAUCUUUGAACGCACAUUGCGCCCGCCAGUAUUCUGGCGGGCAUGCCUGUUCGAGCGUCAUUACAACCCUCAGGCCCCCGGGCCUGGCGUUGGGGAUCGGCGGAAGCCCCCUGCGGGCACAACGCCGUCCCCCAAAUACAGUGGCGGUCCCGCCGCAGCUUCCAUUGCGUAGUAGCUAACACCUCGCAACUGGAGAGUGGCGCGGCCACGCCGUAAAACACCCAACUUCUGAAUGUUGACCUCGAAUCAGGUAGGAAUACCCGCUGAACUUAAGCAUAUCAAUAAGCGGAGGA
rnacentral:misc_RNA from 1 species